rnacentral:misc_RNA from 1 species
GAUGAAGAACGCAGCGAAAUGCGAUACUUGGUGUGAAUUGCAGAAUCCCGUGAACCAUCGAGUCUUUGAACGCAAGUUGCGCCUCAAGCCAUUAGGUUGAGGGCACGUCUGCUUGGGCGUCACAUAUCGUUGCCUGAUGCCAGUUUCCUCGUGAUGGGUGACUGUGCAGGGCGAAUGAUGGCUUCCCGUGAGCAUUGUUGCCUCAUGGUUGGUUGAAAAUUGAGUCCUUGGUAGGGAGCGCCGUGAUAGAUGGUGGUUGAGUGACGAACGAGACCCAAUCAUGUGAGACCCCUACCGAAUUUGGCCUUCAUGACCCACAUGCGUCUUUGGAACGCUCAUGACGAGACCUCAGGUCAGGCGGGGCUACCCGCUGAGUUUAAGCAUAUCAAUAAGCGGAGGA